rnacentral:tRNA from 1 species
GGAGUUAUGCCUGAAUGUCUAAGGACCACUUUGAUAGGGUGCGUUAUGAGGGUUAAAGUCCCUCUGACUCCU